rnacentral:rRNA from 1 species
CGCGGCCUAUCAGCUUGUUGGUGAGGUAGUGGCUCACCAAGGCGACGACGGGUAGCCGGCCUGAGAGGGCGACCGGCCACACUGGGACUGAGACACGGCCCAGACUCCUACGGGAGGCAGCAGUGGGGAAUAUUGCGCAAUGGGCGAAAGCCUGACGCAGCAACGCCGCGUGCGGGAUGAAGGCCUUCGGGUUGUAAACCGCUUUCAGCAGGGAAGAAGCCGCAAGGUGACGGUACCUGCAGAAGAAGCACCGGCUAACUACGUGCCAGCAGCCGCGGUAAUACGUAGGGUGCAAGCGUUGUCCGGAUUUAUUGGGCGUAAAGAGCUCGUAGGCGGUCUGUUACGUCGGUUGUGAAAACUCGGGGCUUAACCCCGAGCCUGCAUCCGAUACGGGCAGACUUGAGUGUGGUAGGGGAGACUGGAAUUCCUGGUGUAGCGGUGAAAUGCGCAGAUAUCAGGAGGAACACCGAUGGCGAAGGCAGGUCUCUGGGCCACAACUGACGCUGAGGAGCGAAAGCAUGGGGAGCAAACAGGAUUAGAUACCCUGGUAGUCCACGCCGUAAACGGUGGGCGCUAGGUGUGGGGGACAUUCCACGUUCUCCGUGCCGCAGCUAACGCAUUAAGCGCCCCGCCU